UAGCCGUAAACGAUACUCGCUAGGUGUCGGCCACGGUGCGACCGUUGUCGGUGCCGUAGGGAAGCCGUGAAGCGAGCCACCUGGGAAGUACGGCCGCAAGGCUGAAACUUAAAGGAAUUGGCGGGGGAGCACCACAACGGGUGGAGCUUGCGGUUUAAUUGGACUCAACGCCGGAAAUCCUACCGGGACCGACAGCAACAUGAAGGCCAGGCUGAAGACUUUGCCGGAUUAGCUGAGAGGAGGUGCAUGGCGUAGUCGUGU
rnacentral:rRNA from 1 species